GAGGGUAUAGCUCACAUGGUAGAGUGCAUGCUUAGCAUACACAGGGUCCUGGGUUCAAUCCCCAGUACCUCCU
rfam:Camelus ferus unplaced genomic scaffold scaffold373, whole genome shotgun sequence.